rnacentral:rRNA from 1 species
CCUUGUACACACCGCCCGUCACACCAUGGGAGUUGGUUCCUUUACCGAAGGUGGUGCGCUAACCCGCAAGGGAGGCAGCCGAACCACGGUAGGGUCAGCGACUGGGGUG